AUGGAAUUUGAGUCCAAAAUGAGGCCCAACCUGGGAGGGGGGAAAGCCCCCUUAAAAGAAGCACCUGGAACCCAAAGAGCUCUGGGUGGCAGAAAGUAAUAGCUAAAGAAACAUCCGUUUCCUCCCCUGCGGAAAAACUUACUCCGACUUACCCACCCGAGGAUAUUUAUUCCUUUAAAGUAUUUAUACCUUCCCCUUUAACCCCAAAGCCUUCCAAGUGAGGCACCAAGAUCCACAGAGUAUUCUGGGAAAAGACAAAAAUGGCCCUUGGUCACUCCGUCGCCGCUUUAUAUAGCUCUUUUGUUUAAUCAGGUUUCUUUUUCAUACUCCGAGAUGCCGAUCCGCCGCCGUGCCAAUUUGGACCGAGUUAAAUAGAGCAAUGAGAGCCAAGCUUGGAAAAUGUCCAUAAAUACAGAGCAGAUGUUCGUAAUAAUGGAAAGUCAGAUUUAUUCUCCUAUUUUAGAGGAUGGGACGGGACCAAGGAGUUUCUGGCAGUUACGGAAAACCAACCCCAUAAGCCCUGCACACCUUCCCUUAAGCUGGAGCCUAAAGUUGAUUUCCGUAACCAUCAGGACUAGAAACCUGAAUGCAAAGAAGACACUGAAGUGAAUGCUAUGGCAAAUAACACCUUUCAUACUCACCCAUGUAAGUGAAUGUGUACCACUGCGACUACAUGACACCUUCCAACAUUUCACAGAUGAAAACCAAGGCGCAUGUUGGUAAGAAACAUCAGACUUGUGGGCAAGAUGGCAAAAGUUGUCAAUGAAGAAGAGACAAGCUGCAAAGAAGGGCAAGAAUCUG